rnacentral:rRNA from 1 species
GCCCAGACUCCUACGGGAGGCAGCAGUGGGGAAUAUUGCACAAUGGGGGAAACCCUGAUGCAGCGACGCCGCGUGAGCGAUGAAGUAUUUCGGUAUGUAAAGCUCUAUCAGCAGGGAAGAAGAUGACGGUACCUGACUAAGAAGCCCCGGCUAACUACGUGCCAGCAGCCGCGGUAAUACGUAGGGGGCAAGCGUUAUCCGGAUUUACUGGGUGUAAAGGGAGCGUAGACGGCGAUGCAAGCCAGAUGUAAAAGCCCGGGGCUCAACCCCGGGACUGCAUUUGGAACUGUGUGGCUGGAGUGUCGGAGAGGCAGGCGGAAUUCCUAGUGUAGCGGUGAAAUGCGUAGAUAUUAGGAGGAACACCAGUGGCGAAGGCGGCCUGCUGGACGACAACUGACGGUGAGGCGCGAAAGCGUGGGGAGCAAACAGGAUUAGAUACCCUGGUA